GUGCUGUCACAGAUAGCACAUAUAAUAAAAUUGGAUCGAUACAGAGAAGAUUAGCAUGGCCCCUGUAGCAAGGAUGACACGCAUAAUCGUGAAGCGGAUCCAAAUUUU